AAUAUUGCACAAUGUGGGAAACUCUGAUGCAGCGACGCCGCGUGAGCUAAGAAGGCCUUCGGGUCGUAAAGCUCUGUCCUAAGGGAAGACACGGACGGUACAUUAGGAGGAAGCGCCGGCUAACUACGUGCCAGCAGCCGCGGUAAUACGUAGGGGGCGAGCGUUAUCCGGAAUUACUGUGCGUAAAGGGUGCUUAGUCGGCCUUUUAAGUCAGAUGUGAAAGGCUACGGCUUAACCGUAGUUAGCAUUUGAAACUAGAAGGCUUGAGUGCAAGAGAGGAGAGUGGAAUUCCUAGUGUAGCGGUGAAAUGCGUAGAUAAUAGGAGGAACACCAGUGGCGAAGGCGACUCUCUGGACUGCAACUGACGCUGAGGCACGAAAGCGUGGGGAGCAAAC
rnacentral:rRNA from 1 species